rnacentral:tRNA from 1 species
GGGGAUGUGGCUCAAGUGGUAGCGUGCUCGCCUGGCAUGUGAGGGGCGCUGGGUUCGAUCCUCAGCACCACA